UACGUAGGGCGCAAGCGUUGUCCGGAAUUAUUGGGCGUAAAGAGCUCGUAGGCGGCCAGUUGCGUCUGCUGUGAAAUCCCGGGGCUCAACCCCGGGCGUGCAGUGGAUACGGGCUGGCUGGAGGCAGGCAGGGGAGAACGGAAUUCCCGGUGUAGCGGUGAAAUGCGCAGAUAUCGGGAGGAACACCGGUGGCGAAGGCGGCGACCUGGUCCAUGACUGACGCUGAGGCGCGAAAGCGUGGGGAGCAAACAGG
rnacentral:rRNA from 1 species